UUUGAGGGAACUGGAAAAGAGAAAGCAAAGCCAGGGAGAGGAAGUGGGCAGAGGGAGGGGCCAAUUAAAACUUGAAUAAAUUCCACCGGAAGUUAGCUACGUCUUUAAAAUGAAACAUAAUUACCAGGCCACAGCACUGUGCUCAGUACAGCGACCAGGCUGAAUUGGAGCCCCAUCCUCUGGAGAAACUCCUGUGGUGGGCCUUGCCGGGCUCACUCGGUCUUGAGCACACACUGACAGGAAUUAGUGAACACAAGAAAUCUCACAGUGGGCUAUUCGUUCAAGACAAGUCUCCUUUCCAGAGGGCGCCUCAGAAAGCAACAUCUGGUCUUGACCUUGAAUGCGGAGGGGCUCACACAGAGAGAGCCAGCUGAGCCUCCAGUCCGAGCAAAGUAUGGCUGUGGGGCCAAAGCCUGUAUGCCCAGCCAACCAUAGGCAGCGAGAGAAGCCUGGGAGACUGCGCACCGAGGAAGCAGUUGACGUAAAGAGUUAAGGUGGCAGAUGUCUCUCCCAGAGCCGGGACAGAUCUCUAAGGCACCGCAAGGACUCCUGGAGGCAAAGGCAUGCAGGAAACCCUGCUCCAGCCGGAGAUCAGAGUCCCACUCAUUUAGUCUCAGAAACACCCGUCAUGAGGUGAGCAUGUGUGUGGAGAGACCGAGGCAGCACAACAACGAAGACAUAACGUGCCCGGUCACAGGGUGAAGUAAACACUCAGGGUAGACGGUGUCUGGCCAGUGACCUGUCCUGCUCUGCCCAUGGCCUUCCAUCUUCUCUGCUGGGCUGACUGAGGAGAGGCAUGGAGCCCUGGACACUCAGUAGUCAGGAAUGCCUUAUCCAGAAGCACACAGGAACGAGCAGACCAGAAUCUGUCAACCAUUGGAGUCCAUUUUUAUCCUCUUUUGGGUAUCUAUGUAAACACUGAUGUCAUCUACAAGCAAGGCUAAUUUUAUAACUUUUCCAUAUUUAUAACAACGUUCAUUUUCCAGCUUUAUCCCACCAGCCAGAACCUACCCAUGAUUCUCCUGUGUUGUCUGCUGUUCAUUUUCAGAAGACAGAAUAGCUUUUUUUUUUUUUUUAGAUUUUUCGAGACAGGUUUUUUUUUUUGUUGUUGUUGUUUUGUUUUGUU